UCCGUAAAAGGACAUUCCUUGUGAAGGUUCACCAUGGGUUGGGCUGUGGUCUUCCUGGCACUUCUCACUUACUGCACAGGCAUUGACUGUCAGACCGUUUGGACUCAGCCUUCCUCCAUCUCCGUGUCCUUGGGAGGGACGAUUACGCUGCCCUGCACAACAACUCAGAGUAGCUACAAUAUUGGCUGGCAUCAACAGAAAUCUGGAGAAGGCCCUCGCUAUGUCCACACUAGUGGUGGCUACAGCAGGGGAGAAGGGAUCCCAGAUCGCUUUACGGCCACCAGGUCUGGGAGUACGGGAUCUUUAGCCAUCACCAACGCGCAGGCUGAAGACGAGGCAGAUUAUUACUGUAGCAGUUGGAACAGUGCAGUUACGGUGUUGCACGGUGGUAAAUUCUGA